rnacentral:rRNA from 1 species
GACAGAGGAUGCAAGCGUUAUCCAGAAUGAUUAGGCGUAAAGCGUCUGUGGGUGGCUUUUAAGUCCGCCGUUAAAUCCUAGGGCUCAACCCUGGACAGGCGGUGGAAACUACCAAGCUGGAGUACGGUAGGGGUAGAGGGAAUUUCCGGUGGAGCGGUGAAAUGCGUAGAGAUCGGAAAGAACACCAACGGCGAAAGCACUCUGCUGGGCCGACACUGACACUGAGAGACGAAGCUAGGGGAGCGAAUGGG